rnacentral:rRNA from 1 species
AUUGAACGCUGGCGGCAUGCUUUACACAUGCAAGUCGAACGGUAACAGGCCGCAAGGUGCUGACGAGUGGCGAACGGGGGAGUAAUGCAUCGGAACGUGCCCAGUCGUGGGGGGUAACUACUCGAAAGAGUAGCUAAUACCGCAUACGAUCUAUGGAUGAAAGCGGGGGAGCGUAAUGCCUCGCGCGAUUGUAGCGGCCGAUGUCAGAUUAGGUAGUUGGUGGGGUAAAGGCUCACCAAGCCAACGAUCUGUAGCUGGUCUGAGAGGACGACCAGCCACACUGGGACUGAGACACGGCCCAGACUCCUACGGGAGGCAGCAGUGGGGAAUUUUGGACAAUGGGCGCAAGCCUGAUCCAGCAAUGCCGCGUGCAGGAAGAAGGCCUUCGGGUUGUAAACUGCUUUUGUACGGAACGAAACGGCUCUGGUUAAUACCCGGGGCUAAUGACGGUACCGUAAGAAUAAGCACCGGCUAACUACGUG